rnacentral:rRNA from 1 species
AUUGAACGCUGGCGGCAGGCCUAACACAUGCAAGUCGAGCGGAGCGGCGGACGGGUGAGUAAUGCCUAGGAAUCUGCCUGGUAGUGGGGGAUAACGUCCGGAAACGGGCGCUAAUACCGAAUACUAUCAUAUGAGCCUAGGUCGGAUUAGCUAGGGGGUGGGGUAAAGGCCUACCAAGGACACGAUCCGUAACUGGUCUGAGAUGAUGAUCAGUCACACUGGAACGGAGACACGGUCCAGACGCUUACGGGAGGCAGGAGUGGGGAAUAUUGGACAAUUGGCGAAAGCCUGAUCCAGCCAUGCCGCGUGUGUGAAGAAGGUCUUCGGAUUGUAAAGCACGUUAAGUUGGGAGGCGUUACCAGCAGAAUAAGCACCGGCUAACUACGUGCCAGCAGCCGCGGUAAUUC